AGCCUGUGAUGUUCUGAUUGUCCGUACCAUCUGAGUUCCGCGAUAACUUCAAAGACGCUGAUGAGUUGUAUCAAUUUUUCUGAGGUUU
rnacentral:snoRNA from 1 species